rnacentral:sRNA from 1 species
AUCCGCCUGGGCGUCACGCUUCGUGGGGCGGGACGAGGAGAAGCCAAACGUAAAGACACCAGGAGUUUCUCGGGCCCAGCUCUGGCUGCUGCCGGGGAGCCCCAAGCCUUGGCGGGUCCUUGCAGCGAAUAGGAGUCUGGGCAGGCGACAGGCUAGUCCGACGAAGAGUGGGUGUGAUCAGCACUGGAAAAGAUGCCUGCCCCUGCUGCCACAUAUGAAAGAGUAGUUUACAAAAACCCUUCCGAGUACCACUACAUGAAAGUCUGCCUAGAAUUUCAAGAUUGUGGAGUUGGACUGAAUGCUGCACAGUUCAAACAGCUGCUUAUUUCUGCUGUGAAGGACCUGUUUGGGGAGAGUUUCGCUCUUCUUGCCCAGGCUGGAGUGCAAUGCCACGAUCUUGGCUCACCGCACCCUGCGCCUCCCAGGUUCAAGCGAUUCUCCUGCCUCAGCCUUGCAAGUAGCUGGGAUUACAGGUUGAUGCCGCCUUACCUUUGGACAUCCUAACCUAUGAAGAGAAGACCUUGUCAGCUA